rnacentral:lncRNA from 1 species
AUGAUGGCUCUCCAACGCCCACCUGACUCAGUACCAGGCCCUGUUGCUGGAUGCUCCACGCAUCAAAUUCACCUGAGAAACAACCCUCAAUCUGGCCACCUUACUCCUGGACUCCAACUUGUACACACACCCCUCCAUGACUGUCUGGAUACUCUGACAACUUCCACCACACCAACUGCCCAGACCCGACUGAUGUUCCCCUGCAAAGCCCAGAUAAGACCCUCUUCACCGAUGGAAACAGCUUCAUGGAAGAUGGAGUCAGUCUCUUCAAGCCUUACAGAUUCUUCAGAGUGAGAUCCAGGUUACAAUACAGCAGGCUCAAGGAAAACCCUUGGCAACAUUCCAGCCCCACGGUUUCAAGCCAGGAGACCUGGUCCUGAUAUGCUUGGUUUGCUUGCACCAAGGGUUUGACUAAAUACAUUCCCAAAUCAGUCUUGGCUACCCAAUCUACCACUUUAUUUUGUGUCACCAUGAAGUUGUUCCACAAGCCUUGUAUUAUAAUGAAAAAGGGGACUGUGAACAUCUAGGAUUAACCACUGAGCACUAUAGGAGUAAACAGGCUGCCCCCAUUUUAGUGCCCAUUCUGGUGGGAUUAGGAAUAGCUGGGUCAGUGGCUAUUGGAACUUCCUCCCUGAUCCUUCAGGACACAAAUUUUAAAGCCCUAAGCCACCAAGUAGCCAGAGAUUUGGGUCACCUGAAAGACUUGAUCUCCAGAUUUAAAAAACCAGGUUGAUUCCCUAGCUGAGAUGGUCUUGCAAAAUCAAAGGGGACUUGACCUCCUGUUCAUAAAACAAGGAGAGUUAUGUGUAGCCCUAGAAAAAAACCUGUUGCUUCUAUCCUAAGCAGUCUGUUGUCAUUAGAGAUACCUUAGCUAUGGUCAGGGAAAAUUUAAAGACUAAAUAUACUCAACAAAAGGAUCAAAAUUGGUUUCAAAAUUUAUUUGACUGGUCCCCAUGGUUAACUACCCUACUUUCUGCUGUAGCAGGCCCCUUAGUUAUCUUACUUCUGCUUUUGCUCAUGGAACCUUGUAUUAUAAAUGCUCUAACUAAAUAUGUUAGACAGAGGGUUGAUGCAGUUAAACUGAUGGUGUUGAGACAAAGUUAUGAGAUUUUAGAGGAUAUUUUAGAAGAAGAAUCCAAAGAGUAAAUACAGAAAUCAAAGAUUUGAUUAAGUUACAAGAACCAGUGGGGAAUGAAGGACCCUAGUUAGCAAGACAGACUCCAUAUUGCUGCUUGACCCACCUGCCUGCCCUUUAGAUGAACUCAGAAGGAGGAAGCUUAGAAACCUCCUCCCCUUAGAAAGUCUCUUUAGAAAAAACAAUUAAUCAACUGUUGUUUUACAAAUGUUCUAAUGGCAGGACGUUCCACUUCUGUACCUUUUGCUUGCUUUGCUAGUUCUAUCCCAUAGGGGGGGCCUAGAAACUGCUGGCCUCAAAGGAGUAUAAAACAUGUUUGUCUCCCCCCAGUUGGG